GAAAGGGAAAAAAAGCCAUGAACAAGCAAGAGAGAGAAAAAACCUAAAACCCGAAAGAGACCCAAUCAACACAACGAGGCCAAAUCUAGAGAGGGGAGGUUGCGACGAGUCCAACCAAGGUGGUCAGUGCUGGAGACGAUGACACACAUGCUAGAAAAGAUGGUUGAAGCAAACUAAUCAUAUUCUUUUAAUUUAGUUUUUACUAUUUUCAACUUGGAAAUAUAGAGUUUAAGACUUUAGUAUGAACAAAACAAAAGAAAAAACUAAAAACUAAUUGUUUUUAAAAUAUAUCGCUAGUGUAUAUAUAUUGUCAUUAUUUGAGUCUACAAAUAUAUAUUAAACAUAUAUUGAUUAUACGAAUCUAGUAACACACAUAGACAA
rnacentral:lncRNA from 1 species